GCGCUGGAUCAUGCCGUACACCGUGUCAGGAUCACGCAGGACAGGACUGGGGAAGGGUUUGCUGGCGUCUCGGUUAAUAGCAGUAACGGCAGCCGCUUGUGUUCUUGAUUCUUUGCCAAGCAUUCUUGUUAUUUAACACGGGAAGGAGGUGACUUCGCCUGUGAUGGACUUCCAGUGUGAGCACUGGCCAGAGUGACCAGGCUGACCAGCACCAGCCCUGAUCCAGGUAAGAGAUGCAGAGGCCAGGAUGUGGGCCCAGCCCUGUGCCAGGAGGCUGGCUGGAAUAAAGGUACAGAUAGAGGCCUCACCCCCUCUGGGACCACUGGCACUCAGGGUGUUUGCAGCCUCAGAGCCCACCUGCCCCCAGGGCCACAGCUGCAUCUCCUGCCCUGCUGUCAUUACAGGGAUGGGCAGGCUGGCAUGGGGGCAGCCGCUGCCCCUGCCUGGGUGUUGCUGUGUAUUCCUGCCGGCCAGGGGCCACUGCCAGGACCACGCCUCCCUUUUCAUAUCCCGAUUCUUAAGUUCUGCUAUUGUGGUAUUCUGGUGGAGAAAAAAGAACCGCGUGGCUGUUUUUGAACUGCCUGGAACCUAAGACCCUGAAUUCUUUUCCCCCCCAAGGGGAAAAUCUAUAUGGAAAACAUUUAUUUUAAAAUACAGGAUGAAGUGAAUUAAAAGAUUUAAAUGCACAUUUCUUUAAGGAUAAUAUUUCUGUGUUGGCAAAAUUUGAGAGUAAAUUGGUCUUGAAUGG
rnacentral:lncRNA from 1 species